GAUAACUGGCUUGUGGCAGCCAAGCAUUCAUAGCAUUGUCGCUUUUUGAUUCUUCAGUGUUGGCUCUUCCUAUCAUUGUGAAGCAGAAUUUAUCAAGCAUUGGAUUGUUCACCCACUAAAAGGGAAUGUGAGCUGAGUUUAGACCAUUGUUAGACAGCUU
rnacentral:ncRNA from 1 species